UUCGCCUCUCGGCCUUUUGGCUAAGAUCAUGUGUAGGAUCUGUUCUUAUCAGUUUAAUAUGUGAUAUGUUGAGGACUAUAUAUUAAAUGGAAUUUUGGAGCUAGGGAAGUUUUUUAAUGACUGAUGUUUUAAUGUAUUUUUAAUCUCCUGUUGGCUGGGGAAACCCAG